rnacentral:lncRNA from 12 species
CUAAUUCUUAUUUUCUUGUUUCCUAGGUUCAGUGUGGCUACACUGUAUAAUGGGGCCCCUGCCAUAGCUCCAUGUCCAAAUCAGAGCGCUGCCUCAGUGCAUCUGGGAUUUGGGACAGUGGCUCACCAUCACUGCAGAACAUGAUACAUAUAUAUAAAGGACUAAUUUCCAAAGUGGACUAUCAUCAUACUCUGAUCUUCUUGGAACUUUAGUAUGGGAUAGAUUUCUAUGUUUUCUAGACACCUUGGUACAAUUUCCAGAUCACACUCCAGAUCUCCCACCCUUAAUCGCUGUGGGAAGCAUCGCACCAGAUGGCCC